AUAGUCCUAAAUAUAAAGCUUUAUUACAACUGUCACAUAAACUUAACCAAGAAAAAUAAACAUUGACCAAUGAACCAUGAAAAUGAGGUCAAGGUCAGAUGAACCAUACCAGGAAGACAUGUACAGCUAACAAUUCUUCUAUACAACAAAUAUAGUUGACCUAUUGUGCAUAGUUUAAAGAAAAACACACCAAAACACAAAAACUUAAC
rnacentral:lncRNA from 1 species